rnacentral:lncRNA from 1 species
CACAAAGGGCCGUCCUGCCAGCUGGGAAAUUGCUGGAGCAUGCCGAGUGCCGGGGCCGGAGGAAGGAGUGAAAUCAAGUUUAUGCACUUGUCAGGGGAGCUGAGGUGCGGGAGCGGAUCCAGCCCCUCUGCGCAGCUGUUACAGUCCCGACAGCACCCGGGUGGCACAGCCCUGACAGCUCAGGUCCUUGCACCUCUGCUGGCAUGGGAACGUGCCUGUUGGAUCAUGGGCAGAAGCGCACACCGGCUCUGGGUGGAGCUGAAUACAAUGCCCACAUUUGUGGUUAGCUACAAGCAAAACAUUAUGAAGAUGAUGGUAUUCAGACACAUACUCAAACAACUGGAUUCAGACAAACAGGAUGCAAGACUGACCAACAAGAGAAGAACAGCCCUUGGUCCUGAUCCCAUCAAGGCUGGAGGCAAAACUGCUGAUGGUGUCGGUGAUGGCAAUGGAGUGCACUCCCGUGAGGCUCCCUGACUCCCAUCUCAUUAACACCUGGAUUACUUCACUCUCUAAUCCAGUCAUCGGUACCCGGGCGCAGAUGUGUUUCACAGCUUCGCCAUGUUUGAUUGAUUCUGUUAUUUGUGUAUGCAGCUGUACCACUGCCUUUAUUUAUUUAUUUGUUUUAAUAUAUUGCACAGAUGCAUACAAAUGUAUCUCGGAGACCUUUCCCCCUUCACAGACAACUUCUCGUCAUGCCUUCUACUGGGCAGUCAGGCGAAGUUGUCUUUACUACUGUGGAUUUCAUCAACUUGAAAUCUAAACAAUUAAAAAAGAAAAGGUAAGCAGUUUCAGGCAGCAAGGUGGCCCUUGAAUGCCUCAGUCAAAUUUUGCAUUUAUGCACCGAAUUUUUCAUCUUUUUUUUUUUAACAUGAUUUUCUUCCACUUGUUACUUUAUGUUAGUCCGUAUAAAAGAUGAAAUGGACUGUUGAGGUGGAAAGUGGAAGCUGUUGGUACACAAAAUGCUUUCAAAUGCAGAAACUAAGCAAAUGGGCAGAGGUUUUGUACUUCCCUGCCCAUCCCUCCCAAUCUCUUUUGUUAAUAUGACUUUUCUUAUUACUUAAAGCCAUUGCAGAUCUAGAAAACAGCAGAAAAGCUUAACUUUGGAAAUUCAACUAUUUAGUGUGUGAGUAAACCUUGCCCUUGUAAAGUUCGACCCCCUUUCAUGCAAAGAUUUGACUUACAAAUGAUAUCUGUAUGGAGUUCAAUGUUGAAAAGGUGUUGGGAGCAUGUCACAUUCACAAGCAGUGUGCACUGUAAAUCGUUAUAAGUUUAUUGAAAAUAAGAUUUUGGGAUGGUUGUUCAUAAACAAUCUAUUGCUCUACUGGGCCUCAGAAAAAACAAAUUUUAAAAAAAGUUGUCUGUUUUUCCAGUGUUCAACACCGCCUGUGGUGGCAGGAUGUUGCUCUGCAGUGACCAGGUCUUCCCUGCUCAGCUGCAGGCUGUGUGCUGUGAUGAAAAUCACUCCUAGCAGACA